UUGGAAAAUAAUGUUUAACAGGCCAUGUUCUUUUGAAUAUUUUGUUUGAAAUGUCGUUUCUUCUGUUUGAGUUCUGAGUUUCCUGAUCAUUAUGUAACUGAUUUCUUGCAGCUGUUCAGAAGAUGCCCACUGAGAAAACCACUUUUCCUCAAGACAAUGAGAGUGAGGAUGAAAUACGAAAUAGAAAACCCACGGAGAGGACAAAGAGUGUGCUAGUCAAAUGCUGAAGUGACAGCUUUCAUGAAGCAUUUUAAGGCACAUAUAGCCAAAGGAAAACUGGCCACAAUGACUGAGUGCCAGCAGUGUAAAACUGCUGAGGAUCCUGUUUUGGCCAGACGCAGUGCACAAAACAUAAGAGA